rnacentral:rRNA from 1 species
UACGGAGGGUGCGAGCGUUGUCCGGAAUCACUGGGCGUAAAGAGCUCGUAGGCGGUCUGUUGCGUCCGCUGUGAAAACUCGGGGCUUAACCCCGAGCCUGCAGUGGAUACGGGCAGACUAGAGGUAGGUAGGGGAGAAUGGAAUUCCCGGUGUAGCGGUGAAAUGCGCAGAUAUCGGGAGGAACACCGGUGGCGAAGGCGGUUCUCUGGGCCUUACCUGACGCUGAGGAGCGAAAGCGUGGGGAGCGAACAGG